UCAGGCUGGCCAUAAAGCGAUGGCUGUUCUUGGGGCUGAUGCUACGCUGAGUCAGGCCUGUGGAGCUAAUGCUAGAGUUUUUGCGGUCCGGUUUGCCAAGAAUCCCUUGGUGCAAUGCAGUAACAAAGCCCAGACAGGACACCAAUCUAUCAUGGGGCCUCCCCCACAGAUAUGGCCAGUUAUAUCUGCAUGUAGAAGACUAACAGCCAAUACCACCACUGGGGAUUUGAAUCUUGGAUCUACAGUGGCAAUUGAUGCCCUUUCCAUGCUGUAUUCCUGUCAUGCAUGCAGUGUUUCCAGUUGACGACAGGCUCACUGUUACCC